GCACGAUCAUGGCCAGCAGGAAGAUGAAGGACACCGAGCCCAACGCGAUGAUGAGGAUGAGGAUCUGCAGAAUUGAAAUGAAAUGUUUUGAGCUCUUCAAGCUGACUCGUCAGAAUCCUGGAGCCUUUUAAAAAAUGACGAAUUGGAAGGAAAAAUUACUUUAUCAAUAACCAGGCUCCACCAGGAUUGACCUAGAUGGUUGUUCCUGGCACUUGUCAUUCUCAGCAAGCACAGCUCAGAGAACAAAUACAAAAGACCCAAAGUGCAUUGCAUCUUUUAUGGAAGUGCCCAAUGUGGAAAUCAUAGAUUUCAAGGAAGGAACAAGAAAAUUGAUGAAACAAGUUCAAAAGAAAGAAGCUUGGCCAAUUUGAUGUCAAUGGAAAUGCGUGAGAUUUUUAUUCAGCAUUCACACCUGAGCAAUGCUUUUGGUCAUGAUGUCAUACUAAGAAGAAACCACCUGAGAUGAGACUGUUAGAUGUUCAGAGCAAACAAAAACAAAAACAGACCAACAAAAAAAACCCAAAACAAAACAGAAGUUUCUGAAGGACAGCAGAAAUGGUCAUCUGUCUCUUUUUAAGAGAAAAAUAAUAUCCAAAGAAGUUCCACCACUCAGAAGACUUUUACAUUCCAUGUCUCAUUUGCCAGAAUUUCUUCUUACAAGCUGUAAACCAAUCAUGGUUAGGGUAAUGUAAUUACCUUGAUUUGUUUUUAAGUGAUAGAGUUUUCCUUCCUUUUUGAUGAUUUUACUAGGGAAGUGUGAACACUUGAACAACUCAGUCAGCAAUAAAGAAUGAGGUUAGGACUGGAUUUAGCUGGACAAUCAACAUUGUCUAAUAUAGACAGAAAAGAGAAAAACAGAGAGAAGAAAAGAAGGUGAAAGAGAAAGUGAUCUUGAGAGCCCAGAUUGGAA
rnacentral:lncRNA from 10 species